GGAUGUCUUAGAAUGUCUGUUCAGGCCAGCAUCUUUUUCCAACUGUGAGGUGCUCCUGCACACUUGAGAGAUUGUCACAAGCCCAUGACAUCACGGGCUUGUGACACUCUCAACUGCAAGGCACGCAGAGACAUAAAAGACAGCCAACAUUUUUAAAAGUUGCCUCUUCGCCCAAUAUUUGGAUCCUGGGGAGCUUAUGGAUGAAACUGGCCUAUAUACGUAUCUACCAACAACAACUAAUAACUAAUAAUACAAAUGAGUCUACAGAAGAAAAUAGAUCUCCAUAUAGUGAAUCGUCUACCUUGCUGCUUUAGCUCCCACAGAUCUUCCUUAUACCAAGGACAGAUUUUUGAAGCGGGUUGGAGAGGACACUUAGGAGUGAUCACAUCUACUGCCCCGAAAACUCAGUGCAAGAUGAAAUUCCCACAGAUGCCAUCAUCAGAUGCCACCAUCACCUGUGUAUCUUUUAUAAUUACACAUGUGGACAAAUGUGUUGGUACCCCUCCACGAAAAAAGAAGAACCCACGAUUGUCGCUGAAAUAACUUGAAACUGACAAACGUAAUUGGCACCCAUCAUUGUUUAUUCCGCAUUUAACAAAAAUCAGACUUUGCUUUAGAGUUUUGAUGCAACAGAAUAUUUCAAAUAACACAAAUGAAAAUGGCAUGGGGACCCUUAACCUAAUACUCUGUUGCACAACAUUUAGAGGCAAUCGCUGGAAACAAGCAAUUCCUGUAGCUCUCAAUGAGACUUCUGCGCCUGUCAACAGGUAGUUUGGCCCACUCUUCCUGAGCAAACUGCUCCAGCUGUGUCAGGUUUGAAGGGUGCCUUCUCCAGACUGCAUGUUUCAGUUCUUUCCAUAGAUGUUUGAUAGGAUUUUAUCAGGGCUCAUAGAAGGCCACUUCAGAAUAGUCCAAUGCUUGUCCUUAGCCAUUCUUGGGUGCUUUUAGCUGUGUGUUUUGGGUCAUUAUCCUGUUGGAGGAUCCAUGACCUGCGACUGAGACAGAGUUUUCUGACACUGGGCUGUACGUUUCACUCCGGAAUGUCUUGAUAGUCUUGAGAUUUCAUUGUUCCCUGCACAGACUCAAGGCACCCCAUGCCGGAUGCAGCAAAGCAGCCCCAAAACAUAACCGAGCCUCCUCCAUGUUUCACAGUAGGUAUGGUGUUCUUUUCUUUAAAUGUUUCAUUUUUUUCAUCUAUGGACAUAGAGCUGAUGUGAAUUGCCAAAAAGCUCCAGUUUUGUCUCAUCUGCCCAAAGGACAGUCUCCCAGAAGCAUUGUGGCUUGUCAAUAUGCAUUUUAGGAAAUUCCAGUCCAGCUUUUUUAAUGACAAAAUUGGAGACAUUCUGGAGCAAAACGUACUGCCCAGUGUCAGAAAGCUCUGUCUCAGUUGCAGGUCAUUCCACACAGCUCUGAAUCUGUUUUCUCCUUAGAAAUCAUUUUGCCAGAAUGGACAAGAGAAGUAUCCUUGAAAAGGUGAUAGGAGGGGAAAUCAAUAAAUUGCGUUUAGGAAACCUGCAACCAUUUAUCUGGGAGAAAGCCCCUUCCUAAAUAACACAUCUCCCUAAGGAAGCAUAUAGGAGAAUAUAAAUGCUUUCCCUUGAGUGAGCCUUCAGUUCCAUUGUGACAUCAGCAACUGUUACACCAAUCUCCACACUAAUAUAAAACAUAUUUGCUUACUUUACCAAGAAUAUUUACCAAAGUACUUGCUUACUUACCAACACUAAGCCCUGAGCCAUUUUGGAACGGUGGUAUAAAAAUUGAAUGAAUGAAUGAAUGAUAAAAUAAAAUAAACAGAUUAUUGGCCGUCAUCCGAAGCAAUGAACUUCAUGCAGAAUGAGCACUGUUUCACUAGUACAAGAGGAUGGCUUAAUUGUGCUAAAAAUGGCAGAAGAUGGCUUAAGUUGCCCUAUAACCUGCGAUUGCACAAGAGUGCUACAGUGCUCUUGUGCAAAAGUUCCCAUUGAAAUAAAUGGGUCAUUGCACUAUUGUGCAACUGUUGUACAACUACAAUCAUG